UUUCUUUUUUCCUUUUCCUUUUUUCCCCAUUAAAUGCUAAUUCCUAAAAUGCAUGUGUGCCCUCCAUUUCUGUAGUUUCUCCAGGGUCAAUUUCUGGAGGUGGAGCUGGCAGCCCUAACUACUUUGCCCCCUUGGCUGGUGCUACAGUUCCUUGAACCUUUUCCUUCUCCACUCUGCCUCUCUUCAUCACCUGAUGCUGAGUUCCAUGGAUCACCUCUGAAAGGCAGUGGCAUCGACAUAGAUGAGAUCUGAGAUUUGAAGGGUUUCAAUGGAUCUCCCCGUUUGGCACAAAAUCAAAUGAUGGAAAUGAAGGCUCAGUGAUCACGAUGCUGCGCUAGCUUCACAUUCAAGCGGAUGACUCUUGCUCAAUGAUUUCCAAAGCAAUGACCUCG